rnacentral:tRNA from 1 species
UAGCUCAAUUGUUAGAGUGCUUGCCUGGAAUACAUGAGGCCCUGGGUUCAAAUCCUAG